rnacentral:lncRNA from 1 species
GAGUUCGCAGCCGGAACGUUGCAGGCACUUGUUUCCUCAGUGGAUGCCUUUCGGCGCGCCGCCGCCCGGCGCCGCGGGACUGGGAGACCGGAGUCAACUUUUAUAACACUGUUACUGGGAAUACUUGACUUACUAAGCUUUUACUGAACACUUUAAUUUUGGGAGUACAAUUUCUAAACUCACGAAAUAAUCUUCAUGCAACAAGAUGUUAUUUUAUCAAAUUUUGGUAUUACAUGCUCAUUCUUU